GGUGUUACCGCUCUUAAUGCGGCGAGUCUGGAGUUGUUCGUUCCUCCAGCCCUCGCAGGGAAGGAGAAUUCAGCUGAGACGACUUCAGUUCACAACCACAACAAAAAUAGCUUCUCCCGGGGAAGACACAUUCUGCUAACAAGGUCACUUUUGUUUUGCUUCCCCUGCCAUCUGGUUGAGCGGCACCAGGGGCUGGCUUUGGUACCAGCUUAUUCCGCGGAGAGGGGAUGGGAGCCGGGUGGCGCUGCAGAAGGCUUCUCAGCUUCCUGGCAAGGGGCGCCAGCACAAAGUUACCUUCAGACAUCCCCAGAAAGCACGCAGGCAGAUGGAGCCCCGGUUUCACCCAGCCCGACUCUCAUGCGCUCCUCGCCUGCAGAAGGUGAGACACCAGCAGAAAGCAACAAGCAGGUGGGCGUCAGAGGAGAGCAAGAACGCGACAGAAUGGGAAAGCUAUCUUCGUCUUGCAAAACAUUCCAGAACUCCACCUAACUCACUCAGAGUCUGAGUUCCAGAAGGACAACAAAGAAGCAUGAUUUUGUUUCUUGUUUUUAUUUUUCUUCUUUUAAUUCCCCUCCUUUCUACCUUCAAGGUUCAGCUUCUUUCAGUCAUUGAUCCUGUGACCUCAGGGACACUCAAUCACCUACCUUGGCCUCAGUGUUCGCAUGUGUAGAAUGGGAAUCACUUGCGCAGACCUUAUGCAGUGAUGGGGAAGGUGAAAAGAGCAAAUGUGAUUGUCUAGGGGCCCCUGGCUGAGGUUCUUGAGAGAGAACAUACUGGAAUUCCAUGCUUUGUAGCCUACAAGGGCUUUCAUGCAGACAAUUUAGUAAGAUCCCAUGACAGCCAUCUACAGAGCUUUCACAUGACUUAAAUGGUCUGCCCCCGGUUACUUCAAUCGACAGGUGUAGAGCUGGGAUUUAAACACAGACAUUUUCGUUAAAAAGACAGUGUUGCUUUUACUAUGCGGUGAUUUUCAAUCUUUUAAAAUAGGAUAGGAAGCCAUGAAUAUACACACAAAAGAUCAGAUACAGUUUUAAGGGGUUCACAACCUCCUAAAGCUAUGCCCCUCCUAGGAGGAGUCCAGGGGUCUCAGAGGUCUCAGAAUAUUUGCUGGGGGCUGGAGAGGGGUGAAGACAAAACUUUUAGUAAAAUAAAGGAGGAAUCCUUAAAAUGACCAAACAUCUCUGUACUCUUAAGUCAAAGAGAAUAAGCUCAUCAGAACGUCUCUUUAAGGAUUUUAGUAGUCCUUAAAAAGACAAAUGAGGAAACUGAUUUUAAGGUGAGUUGAACCUGGUUUAUGAGGAGUCGGAGGAGGGGGUAAGGGAGGAGUCAGGCCUCUGCAGUUGGGGUGAGCAGUGGAAUCCCAGGGCUGCGCAGUGGCAGGUGGUCUCUGAAUCAGAGCCGAGAGAUGACCUCUGGCCUAGGAUUUCAAAGGUCUGGAAGAGCCCUGGGGCCAUUUGCAAGUGUUCAUUAGUGUUCACCCUCAGCUGGGAACAUCACAGGGUGGUCACUGUUCAGCUCCGUUCACCGUUCACUUUUCUUAGUCUUCCUUUUGCUACCUGCCGUGGAGACCUCCCGCAUCUCAGACUGACUUUAUUUACUUGAAGGUCAUCCAGAAAUUGCCUGCUUUUUCAUGUUCAUGUGACAAAUAUUUAUUAAGCCUUAAUUAUAUUCCAGGCAAUAUGCUCAGCUCUUUGUAUACAGCAGAGAAGAAACGAGCUCUUGCCCUCAGACAGAUUUCAGUCUAGUAGGGAGCUAAACACUUGACAUGAAUCACUCCAAGAAUGGGGUGGGGGUACAUUUGGGGCAAAGGUUGACGUUCUAGGAAGAAAAAUACAGGCCACUGGAAACUUUUGAUAUAGGAAAGAAUGCUGGUAGCUCCAGAAUGUUCUAUAUCAGUAAUACAGAAAAUGGAUUAUUUGACUUGAAGUUAAGUUUAAAACAGCACUUUAUGUGACUUUGAGGAAAUGAGAAUUGUCUACAUCAAAGAAUGGGUGUGAGGGAUGUCGGAGAUCGGGGCUGAUGGCUAAAGCCUGUACCCGGCCCUUUCUGGGCUCUGCAACAGGAGAUCGUGCACCAGGGGAGAGCAAGCAGGACCAGAUGAGAGAAGAGGCAUUAGAGGUCAAAUCUGGAGGACAGAAUUUCCAAAAGAAGUUUCAUGGGUGGCCUGCAUCAGGAUUCCCGCAGGGGGUUGUUGCAAUUGCAGAUGCUUGGGUCCAUCUCAGCCUUGCUGAAUCAGCAUCUUGGCGCAGGAGCUUGGAAUCUGCCUGAUGAGCAAGCAUCCUAAGGGAUUAUUUUAUGCAGGGGGCUUCGGAGUCUGGAUUUUAUCCUAAAUGCACAUCAAGGCCAGUGAGGAGUUUGGAAGAGAGGAAUGGAUACAGUCCAUUUUUCCAGAUGUUUUGCAUCUUGCGUAGGAACUGAGAGGCGUGGGAUAAUGGGGGAGGUGGACAGACCACUUAGAUGGCCAGGGCAGAAUCUCCAUGGCCUUGGCCAGGUGCAGUGGUUCAUGCCUAUAAUCCCAGCAUUUGGGGAGGCUGAGGAGAGCGGAUUACUUGAGGUCACGAGUUCAAGACCAGCCUGGCGAAAUCCCGUCUGUACUAAAAAUAAAAAUAUUAGCUGGGCCUGGUGGCACAUGUCUGUGAUCCCAGCUACUGGGGAGGCUGAGGCAUGAGAAUCACUUGAACCUGAGAGGCAGAGGUUGUGGUGAGCUGAGAUCAUGCCACUGUACUCCAGCCUGGGUGACAGAGGGAGACUCUGUCUCAAAAAAAAAAAAAAAAAUCUCCACAGUCUCCCCCAUCCCUUUGCUUCACUGGGUCAACUUGCCCCUUAUUUCAGUCACCAGUUCCAGGGUAGCAGGGUCAUCUGCACCUUCAUGCAGUUGCUUCCUGGGCCCCAGAGAGACAAGGGCAUUGACACUGACUGCAGAUGUCCCACAUCUCUGGCUUUAGAUUAGCCAUUGCUCCUUUGACACCUCAGGCAGUUGCUGACUGUCAACCUGGCAGUUGGUUUCCCAAGGAGUCCUCCUCCCCUAUCAUCUCCACCUGCCUCAUGCAGAUGGAGAUGGUUCUGAUCACAUGAGAGGAGGGAUGAAGCUCUCUGUGGCUCUCAAGUUUCCUUCUGGCCCUAUGAGCUCAGCUUAGGUGGCUGGGAAUCCAUCAGGUUCCCUGCCCUGGGUCCAGGCAAACCCACUAGAGCUUCUCCGCAUUUGAAGAUAGGCAAGGAGGAGCCCUGUGUCUCAACCCUUCCCAAUCAAAGACUGUGCUAACUGGCUGUUGGUUCAGGCUGGCGCUUACCAAAACCAGCCUCUCUCUUUCAGGCCAAUGACAAAUGUUUCAGUCUCUCUGCGUUUUGAAAGAGAGGCCGACAGAGAGAGAACGUCUCGAAUCACAAUCAGGGUUUCCUGCCGCAGAGCACACAAGAUGAGAAUUGAUCUCAAACCUUUUAGUGCCAUCAUUUACUGAGUGCUGGGAUGACAUACACAUAAGUCAGCAAAGGAAAACUUGGAAUCCUGUUCCCUAGCUGCAUGUCAACAGAACACCUGGAUAACAUGACCUGCUCAAAAGGAGAGAGACUCAAGCCGCCACCCAGCCAAACCUCCAAUAAUAUAAAAAACUUUGCCCCUGCCUUCAUUAUUCUUCUAGUCAGCUUUGAGAUAUAAUUUACGUGGGAUAAGCUGCAUCCAUUUUAAGUGUUUGAUUUGAUGUUUUGACAAGUGUAUACAUUCAAGGAACCAUCACUGCAAUUAAGAUAUAGAAUAUUUAUUUAUUUAUUUAUUUUAUUUCUUUUUUCUUGUUUUUUGAGGUGGAGUCUUGCUCUGUUGCCCAGGCUGGAGUGCAGUGGCAUGAUCUUGGCUCACUGCAGCCUCCGCCUCCCAGAUUCAAGCAAUUCUCCUGCUUCAGCCUCCUGAGUAGCUGGGAUUACAGGCAUUCACCACCACACCCGGCUAAUUUUUGUAUUUUUAGUAGAGACGGGGUUUCACCAUGUUGGCCAGGCUGGUCUCAAACUCCUGACCUCAAGUGAUCCACCUUCCUCGGCCUCCCAAAGUGCUGGGAUUACAGGCAUGAACCACUGUGCCCGGCCAGGUAUAGAAUACUUCUAUUACCCCCCAGAAUUCCUUCAAGUUCCUUUAAAGUCAAUCUCCCUUUCACUC
rnacentral:lncRNA from 10 species